GCUAAUUAUGGCCAUUGGAUCAAAUUUAUUGAGAGAUUUGUGAACCUCAUCAUGGAUCCUAUCAUAUCAAAUAAGAUUUUUUAUUUUUUAGACACAAAAUUGUGUUGUGGUCACCUUUUGAAUUGAGUAGCUUCAUUGGGUUUGUAGCAAAGGAUCGGACUCAAUUUCAUCAUCAAAACUCUGGAUUAAAGAAUUCAAGUGGCAGGCGAAUGGGACACAAUGAGCGGAUAGAGAGGAAGAUGCAUUUUACGGAAUUAAUGCACUGAUUUGCUAACCUGGGCAACUCUUAGUUUUCGCUUUAGAACUUCCUCAAUCGCGCAAUAUUGAUACUGAAAAUCAAGAAUCAAUUAAUUUGGCCUUCGCACAACACGUAAAAUCAUCAAAUUUGCUUUGUCUGUUUCGUACUAUGAUUUAAAUAUGUUUUUA
rnacentral:misc_RNA from 1 species